rnacentral:rRNA from 1 species
AACGCGUGAGAAUCUGCCAUCAGGUCUGGGACAACCACUGGAAACGGUGGCUAAUACCGGAUGUGCCCUUCGGGGUGAAAGGUUAACUGCCUGUUGAUGAGCUCGCGUCUGAUUAGCUAGUUGGUGUGGUAAGAGCGCACCAAGGCGACGAUCAGUAGCUGGUCUGAGAGGACGAUCAGCCACACUGGGACUGAGACACGGCCCAGACUCCUACGGGAGGCAGCAGUGGGGAAUUUUCCGCAAUGGGCGAAAGCCUGACGGAGCAAUACCGCGUGAGGGAGGAAGGCUCUUGGGUCGUAAACCUCUUUUCUCAGGGAAGAACACAAUGACGGUACCUGAGGAAUAAGCAUCGGCUAACUCCGUGCCAGCAGCCGCGGUAAUACGGAGGAUGCAAGCGUUAUCCGGAAUGAUUGGGCGUAAAGCGUCCGCAGGUGGCUAUGUAAGUCUGCUGUUAAAGAGUCUAGCUCAACUAGAUAAGAGCAGUGGAAACUACAAGGCUAGAGUGCGUUCGGGGCAGAGGGAAUUCCUGGUGUAGCGGUGAAAUGCGUAGAGAUCAGGAAGAACACCGGUGGCGAAGGCGCUCUGCUAGGCCGCAACUGACACUGAGGGACGAAAGCUAGGGGAGCGAAUGGGAUUAGAUA